UACGAAGGGGGGCUAGCGUUGCUCGGAUUGACUGGGCGUAAAGGGCGCGUAGGCGGUUCGUACAGUCAGACGUGAAAUUCCUGGGCUCAACCUGGGGGCUGCGUUUGAUACGUGCGGACUUGAGUGCGGAAGAGGGUCGUGGAAUUCCCAGUGUAGAGGUGAAAUUCGUAGAUAUUGGGAAGAACACCGGUGGCGAAGGCGGCGACCUGGUCCGAUACUGACGCUGAGGCGCGAAAGCGUGGGGAGCAAACGGG
rnacentral:rRNA from 1 species